UACGAACUGUGCAAACGUUAUUCGGAAUCACUGGGCUUAAAGGGUGCGUAGGCGGUCGUUUAAGUAGGGUGUGAAAGCCCUCGGCUCAACCGAGGAAUUGCGCCCUAAACUGGACGGCUGGAGUGAGAUAGGGGUGUGUGGAACUUCCGGUGGAGCGGUGAAAUGUGUUGAUAUCGGAAGGAACGCCGGUGGCGAAAGCGACACACUGGGUCUCAACUGACGCUGAGGCACGAAAGCCAGGGGAGCAAACGGG
rnacentral:rRNA from 1 species